rnacentral:lncRNA from 1 species
AAAUCAAAGAAGAAAGAAAUCAAAAAGAAAUGUCUGGAAAAGGAAAUUUUGGAGAAGAAACAUCCAAAAAGAAAUGUCUGGAAAAGGAAAUUUUGGAGAAGAAACAUCCAAACAGUAUUUUGAGGAAAAACCAAAAAUAAAAUAAGAUAAUAAAAAAUAAAAGUAGAUAGAUAACAUAUCCCCAGAUUUUCUCCCACUAACCCUAACUCAUAACUUCCUUAAACUUUUAGCUCAACUAAAAUUCUAACACACAACCGAGCCAAAAAUAACAUCCAUGGUCACACAAAUAUUCGAACACAAGACCUC